ensembl:lncRNA
CUGAUAUUUGACCGGACUGACACAUUCCCAGCGUCUAUUUUGAUUUUUUGCCUGAUCAGGCUUUCCCAGUGGUAAACUGAUUUCUCUGCAGUAACAAAACAGCACCAAAUGUUGCAGCUCAGCUGCUGGGCCCCCGUGCUCCACGAGGAGUCUGUGGUUCUGCAUACCUGUGGAUGUGAGUUAGCUUCCCUUUGGCCUCCAGGUAGACUUUAAAGUGUAAGGUUAGACCAAGGCAGUCUCUCCUUUCACGUUUUCCUGCCUGGGCGAUGGUCAGCAGAAACACCCAACCCCCAUUGCACUGGAGAGGGGGAGGGCAGUAGCUCUGUGGGGUUUCUGUGUCUUUGGAUGAAAUUGUCCCUUUGUUAGUCCAAAAUAGCUCAAAAUGGGCAACUUUCCAAGCAUGCAGUGAAAGACUUCUGUUUGAGACAGUGCUUGGAGAAGGCUGAGGAUGGAGGGCUGAAAAAGAGGUGCCUGACUGGCUGGGUUCCCACUGGAGUGAUUAAUGUAAUGUUGCUGGGAUUUUACUGCAUUAUUAAUGAAGUGCCAGUGUGCCUGGAGCACUGGAAAAACAUCUCGGAAAAAUUAUUACUAAAAAUCUGAAUUGGUGCAUUGGAUAACCUUUCAUAUUACUUAUUUAUUUUUUUUUUUCCUCGACCGCAGAGCCCUUAUCAUGCCAGAGGAAGCCUAUAAAUAAUAACCAGAGAGGCCCGGUUGCCAUAGCGCUGCCAGCCUUGGCUAUCAAGUAGCAGAGAGCAGUCAUUACUCAACGAAAAAAAAAAAAAAAAAGAAACAACCACCCAACCCCACCAAAAUCCAGGACUGCACGGGCCAAUCAACAUUUUCUUUCCUUUUUAAUUCAUGUCGCCAGCCGGCGGGAGCAUCCCUGUGCGCAUCACAGCCGCUGCGCUGUUUUCUUGCGGAAGUUUUUGGUUCAGUCUCUGCGUUAAACAGGACGGACUGCAGUGCUGACUCACGGACACCUGUGACGUUGGUCGUGGCAGCAGCAGAUCCUGGAGGAUGUACUUCCCAAGAAGCUGCUUGGAGUACCCGUGCCACUGGUGUCGCCCCCUCGGUGCCUGCAAUUCACCCCAGCGCAAGCAGGUGCUCUGCAGCUCUGUGAAUCACAGCGCCGUUCCUUAGAAACCAGGUGAUACGGGCAGAGCUUUCAUCUUGUGAUAUUUUUUAGUAACGAGAACAUCAUAGGGACAUAAAACGUGUGGGAUACCAUCAAAGACUAGAAGAAUGCACGCUGGUUAAAAAUUAGCCUUUUCUUUUCAAAUGCACUCAAAAUUAUGUGAAGGAUCAUAUCCAAAGAAAUAGAGAGUCUUCCAUUUUUUAAAGUAAAAUCAUACCCCUAGUGGCUCGGGUAAUACAAAAAUUAAUGCCAGUGCUAAAAUGUAAUUAAAAAGGUGGAAAACCUGACAUCUUUCUGCUCUAAAAUUGUGAGCUGUCUUGUCAUCAGUUUACUCAUUACCAGGCUUUACCAGCUGGAUGCUAUAGGGUAAUAUGAUGAUCUGGUGUCUCUAGCGAGCCAUGCCAUCCAUCAUAACCAGUUUAAAAAAAAAAAAAAAAGGCAAUUGGCUUUUAUAUAAAAAUAAAAGUGUGCAGAAUAAAAAUACCUCUUAGCA